GUGCAGUCCUCCACAGAGGCUGAGGAGAGGCCAGCGGAUAGAUCCAUAAAGAAGAAUGCAGAGGUGAAGGAUACUCAACAGAAUGCUGUCCUGAUGUGCAUGAAGCCCUGGGUUCCGUUCUCAGCACCAAAUAUACUGGGCCUGCUGGUAUAAGCUGGUGAUCUCAGCACACAGGAAGUGAAGGCAGGAGAGUCAGAAGGUAUAUAAACUAUUUAUUAAGAGCAAAGGCCCAGAGACUCAUUUCUUCUUGGAUACACCCACAGUUUGGCCCCUGCGGCCAGUGGUCUUGGUGUGCUGACCGCGGACACGAAGGCCCCAAAAGUGGUGCAGCCCUCUAUGGGCUCGAAUUUUCUUCAGCCGCUCCAGGUCCUCACGCAGCUUGUUGUCUAGACCGUUGGCCAGAACCUGGCUGUANNNNNNNNNNNAUGGCGAAGGCUAUUUUCCGCCGCCCAUCGAUGUUGGUNNNNNNNNNNNGCAAAAUGUGCUGGAACUUCUCAGGGAUCACUAGAGACAUGGCGGCGGCACAGACGGCGGCGUGUAGGCCUCCUGUGGAAGAGCGGUUUAUUUCUUUAUCACUCAUUAGCUCCAGUUCUGUAUAGGUCUGGUUUUUGUUUUUUGUUUUGUUUUGUUUUGUUUUUAAUUGUCCUCGGUUUGAUGAUCCACAUCAGGUUCUUUCCUAUCAAGGGCAGAGGCUAAGAUUCAGUUUUCGCUUUGUUUUCUUUUAUAUUUAACAAGAGCUGUUGGCUUGUGAUGACUUUGCUGUGUUCGGUACACUUGCCCAUCUCACAGGAUAAAUGGAAGUUCAAACACUAUCAGGAUAGACCUACAGGCUAUCGGCUGUCCUUUUGCUGUCCUUUUGUGUAUUGGUUAUUAAACACGUAGAGUUAUGUC
ensembl:lincRNA